rnacentral:rRNA from 1 species
AACGAACGCUGGCGGCAGGCUUAACACAUGCAAGUCGAGCGCCCCGCAAGGGGAGCGGCAGACGGGUGAGUAACGCGUGGGAAUCUACCGUGCCCUGCGGAAUAGCUCCGGGAAACUGGAAUUAAUACCGCAUACGCCCUACGGGGGAAAGAUUUAUCGGGGUAUGAUGAGCCCGCGUUGGAUUAGCUAGUUGGUGGGGUAAAGGCCUACCAAGGCGACGAUCCAUAGCUGGUCUGAGAGGAUGAUCAGCCACACUGGGACUGAGACACGGCCCAGACUCCUACGGGAGGCAGCAGUGGGGAAUAUUGGACAAUGGGCGCAAGCCUGAUCCAGCCAUGCCGCGUGAGUGAUGAAGGCCCUAGGGUUGUAAAGCUCUUUCAACGGUGAAGAUAAUGACGGUAACCGUAGAAGAAGCCCCGGCUAACUUCGUGCCAGCCGCCGCGGUAAAAC